GGGCCCUCCCGUUGAACACGCGCCUCCAGGGCAGGAGCGGGCUCCCCACCAAGGGGGCAGCAGCUGCGCUCGCACGCUUCGCAGGUGCCUGUUCCGAGCCCUGUGGAACACGUGGCCUCUUCGUGAAUUAGAUGGGUCUGAGAGACACAGACAAGGUUUUCAUCUCAAGGCCAAAAGACAUCUGUGUCAUGUCUUCAUUGGAAGGGACUUACAUUACCCAUUGACAAUUUUUUCACGAUCUUCAACUUCUCUUUCCUUAUACAGGCCCAUGUCCUUCUAAGGAAACUGGCUGUUUCUAUUGUCCAGGUUUGUUCUCCUGUGAAACAGGCACCUAAAAUAGUAAAAGGUUUAGAAGUGUAGUUUAAGAUUUUCGGAUGAGAACAGUAGCAUUGGGUAGUUUCCUGUAUUUUGUGGAAUGCCAAGCAGGCUGGUGGGAAUGUGUGUGUCCAGGGGCAACUGAAGUCCAAAUUCUGUCUCUUGACACUUCACAGAUACCAUUUCUGAAAAAGUAUCCCACACUGAUACCACAUCAAUACUAAAAAGAAAAGGAGUACUUGUGGCACCUUAGAGACUAACAAAUUUAUUAGUCUAUGAAAGGGCAAGAAGUAUUGUCAUUUGAGUUUCACACUAUACAUCAGUUUGAUGCCAUACCCAUUAAGUAUGUGGAUGUACCAGAAAUAGCUUUUAAAUUUGCAGAUUUGUUACUGAAGAAAUCCAUAAUUUGUACUUCAUCUCAGUAAAUUGUCAUAGGUCAAAUCUGUUUUAAAACAGACAUCUACAGUCCUGAUUAGGAAUAAGAUAAAGUACCUGUAGGUUGAUACUUUUUAAUUAAAAAUACAUGUUAUCCUAACUCCCUAACAGUAUAAUUACCAUCUCUAUUUAAAUCCUUGUGCUUUUUUACUUUUGUUUCUAAAGCUGGGUUGGCAGUGGGGGAAUUUUUUAGUGAUGAUGAAAAAUUCUAUAUUGAUAGGCCUAGAAACUGAAAUCCUACAUGAAUGGAACAUCUACACUCUAGACAAUUACAGAACAAGUUUCUCUACCCCACCCCAAUCCACCAAUGUUUCUCACUCCUGAUCUAGAGGGUAAAGGUAAUUCUGACUCCAUGCCCUUUCAUUUCCUAUCCUCUGCUCAGAGUCCCAACAGGGUGUCAGUCGUGAUAGAUGAUGGUUUUGUGACAUGAACACCUGUCUGUUGGGAGCUGUACAGGGACCAACUCAUUUCACGGAAGCCACUGAAGAGCCAUCAGAUGGUAAUGACUUUCAGUCCCUGUUGACCUGGGCCAAUUUGAAUCAGUGAUCUAGGGGUGAAAGGCUCCAUAUUCCAUUACCAGUUUUCUGAGCCAUCAAGUCUACUCCAUUCUGCCCCUACUAGUUCUGUACAGAUAUAUUUGAUAGCAUUUUUCUAAAUGCUAUCAUCCAUACAGACACCUGCCAUCAUUUGUUGAUACAGUCAAUCAAUACUACAUUAAAUGUUACUUUUCAGUUUACCCUUAAUUGUCUAAAGUAUGUGUGGAAUUUCAUUAUUUAUAUUACUCUGCCAUUAAAUUAUGCAUUCCAGAUUAAAAGAAUAAAAGGCUUGUUUACAUUAUUA